rnacentral:lncRNA from 1 species
AUUUAACUAAAAACAACUGUCACUCAGUCUAAAAGUGAGGUUAUACCAGUUACAUUGACACAUGAGCAUGAAAAUUAUGUUACCAUUUUGGGCCUGAGUUUCGCUUCUGUAUGGUUAGUUAUUCUGUGGUUUAAUGUGGUCCAUGUUCAUGUUCAUUGUCCAUAGGUGUCCAUAGUCCAUAGAGAAAUAAUAACAAGUCGUUGUUGUUAUUUCUCUAUGGUUUAGUCUUUAGUGGUUUAAUAUCUGCCAUCGGUACUUGGAUUAUAAACUUACCGAAAACUGAAUCAGAAUUUGUUAGCUAUGGAAGGUAAAGUUAAAAUUAAGAAAGAAGCUGAAGAGUAUGACCAAAAUGAUAUAGAGCUAUGGACAUCAGUAGUAGAUCUGGAAGAUUUGAAAAAUGAACCAGGGGAAGAUUACCCAGGUAAUAAAUAGAUUUAUUUCUAUUUGCAUUUAUAUGUAAUGUUCAGAUUCGGAUUCGUUUAUUCAUGUCAAUAACACAAGUGUUUAACACAUGUCAAAUAAAAUUACACAAAGAUUUGGAGGCAAUACAAAUUAAAAAGAUGCACAAUACGACUAAGAGUAUUAAUAACAUUAAAUACUAACAUUAAAAUCACAUUAAAUUUGAUUACAUUAACAAUGGACAUUGCUUAAAGUCAUAAAAUCCUAAAAUUUAAAUGCAA